rnacentral:rRNA from 1 species
UAUUAUUUUAAGUGUUAAUUUUGCUUACCUGGGUAGUUUUAGUUAUGAUCUUUAAACCCAAAGAAUUUGGCGGUACCUUAUUCCAUUCAGAGGAACCUAUCCCGUAAUUGAUAAUACACGAUUGACUUUACUUAAUUUAUUUGUUUGUAUAUCUCCGUUAUCAGAAAAUCUUAUUGGAGUUAUAAUUUUCUUAAUUUAUAAUUUUAAAAUAUUUCAGGUCAAGGUGCAGCUUAUAAUUAAGAGGAGGUGGGUUACAAUAGAUUUUUGUUUAUUACGUAUUUAUUAAUGAAAUACUUUUAAUGAAGGUGGAUUUGAUAGUAAUUUAAUUUAUUUAAUUUAAUUGAUAUUGGCUCUGAGGUGUGUACACAUCGCCCC